ensembl:snoRNA
AUCCUUUUGUAGUUCAUAAGCAUGAUGAUUCAGGGUUCACGCUGUUGUGUGACUUUUGCCUCCCUCAAACCUUGUUGUGACAUUGGCACUUUACCUGUCUGACA